UGUUCUAUGGCUUAGUUGGUUAAAGCACCGGUCUAGCGAAUACGGAGUCGUGGGUUCGAAUCCCACCAGAACGC
rnacentral:tRNA from 1 species